ACUAGCAAUGGGGCAGAAACUUCUGCAGAAACAGGGACACAACACCCAGCACUCUCAGACCCGCAAGGUCUUCAGGACCUGAAGCUGUAGUAGCACUGCAGCCGUGGCCUUCUCUAGAGAAAGGCAGCCAUUACCAAGGUGCCGCCUGGCCAGGAGGCGGCACCCCAACUUUCAUCUCCUCCCUGCCUGCAUUCUCCAGCAGGUUAAGGCAGCUCAUGCAGAGCUCAUUUCCAAGGGGAAGUAACACCUGCCCCCCAACGCCACCUGCUGCCGCCACCUCCCUGCAUCUCCAGCUGCCAGGGGCUGACCAUAAGCCGCAGGAGCACGCUGAUUUCUCCAGGGGAAGAUGAGCGACCUGAUCCCAGAAAGCCCCUGUGCGUGGGAUGGAAAUUCUCCUGCAGAAAGGCCAUGAGAGACACCGGGAGAGGGCUGGGGGGGUGGUGGUGAGACAAAACCUUUCAGCCCCAGCUUGUUCAAGGAAAGGAAAAGAUCUGAAGAAUGCAGCCCGUGCUGAACACAGUCACCCGUCAGCCAAAGACCUUCUUUCUGGGCUUUACAUUUGACUUCAUUAUAUGCUUUGAUUUUCUGGGCUAGCAGACUGCUAUUAAUUAGUUUUUGUUUGGGUUAAUCCAGCUUUUCAUUCAGGGACUUAUUUUGUCCCACUAAGAGUUAAAGUUUGAAAAUGUCACUAACAACCUAGAUAAUUUAGUAUGGAAACCCUCAACAGUUAGGGACUUAUGACUAAUGAAUAAUAU